CGCUCUUAGCUUGGAGGUGCUCUGAGGUUUAAUGCGGGGUGACGUGGCAACAAUUUCUUAGUUGUAUUGGGAAAUAUUAAAGCCAAAAAAUUAUUCCCGUGCAUUUUCUUCCUCCUCUCUUUCUCUCUCUCACUUCGGCAAUAACGCCGAGCCAAAGCAAAAAAAAAUUGACGCGAUUUGUAACCCACCAGUGUUUCUAAUGAGAAUCAUCUUCAUCAUGAUUUGUUAUCCGACGGUGCUUUAUAUGCGCGCUCUUCUUCCUGGGAAUCUCCAUCAUCAUCAUGGUUGUCGUCAUGGUCAACUAUUUUCACCAGAUCUCCGGUGAAAGCUUGGAAAAUCGGAGUCAAAUCGUCAGCAAUCAAUUUGUUAAGAUAAGAACGCCUCUC